rnacentral:rRNA from 1 species
AGUCAAGAGCCGAGACUCUAUAGCGUUCUUUCGAUGUCAUCGAGUCAUCGAGAGUUUGAUUGGUGAUUCAAACCAUCUUCAUGACAAACAAUUCAGUUUAACUGGAGAGUUUGAGAUUGAGCCAGUGAUGCUAGAUACGUAUUCACUACGUGAGCGUAAAGAGAUUAUGUCAGCUACAA